UGCGUGUGGACCCGAGCCAGUUCAAGGAGAACUAAUUCAAUGUACGUAUUCGUCCAGUCUGGGACUAGAACCUAAAUAUGCUAUGACAGCGUCUCUGCUUAAGUGAUAAUGCCAGAGAAUCCAGUGUUUGGAGGAUAUAUUGGCACGUGUGUUGUUAGUAUUGACAAACCGUGCCAAUAAUGUAUAUCCUCCAAACACCAGCUUUUAUACAAGGGUUACCAACAUGUUAAAAUAAUGAUUGACAUAUUUUCAUAAAAAACGUUAUUUUGCUGAAUUUAUUCAUACUAUUUCCUCCUUCCACAAUAUUCCAGACACAAAUCUCGUGUUGCUACCCAUGCCGGCUGGUCAUUCAUUCUAUCAAUUCUGUAUCUAUGAACGCGACCCAGUCGUUCGUUCUAAAUGUUCCAUUGUCAUAUUGGCUGGCAACGGUCGUAUCCCUUGCUUGCUAGCUAGCCAAUUAUGGCUAACUUACAGUCACGUCAAAAAGUGCAGCCAGAAUAACAGCAAAGUAGCUGCACUUGCAUUGGUUUAAGCUAUUUUCUAGUGACAUUUAUUUGGAUACACACAUAACAAUGAGAAAAUGAAGCGAAAUUUCGCCUGGCAUAGAACAUUUGCUCACUCGUCAGGAUACUGUUGUUCAGAGGAGCUAGACAACAACACAGCUAACACAAUCACGUCAUAGUGAAGCUGGAAGACAGCAAACUAGCUACACUUCUUUUUGUUUUACCUUUUUUCGAUUUAAAUUUCUUUAUAUAUAUUCAUAAAAAUGAUGCCAGCUGAUUCAUGAUUUCAACUGGCUGAGAAACGCUGCCAACCCGGAUGUAAUAUAAUUCUGGUUUUGUGGCGCUAGUCUGAAUUCCCCAUGGGAAAACUAUAAACAGGAAGACGUGCAUAUUUCUUCGCCAGCACCAGUCACUGAGCUUGCAAGCUGAAGUUAGCUAGUGAGUCACAGAAAAGCCCUUCAUUCCCAAACCUGAAGCCCCCUGUCCACAGCAGGAAAGACCAGGAAAAAGUGUUUGCUUAAGAUCUGCCAACCAGGCACGGUGGGUGACAGGUAACUGUGUUUCCACCAAGCUGUUCCAUUCCUGGAGUGGCAUGCUGGAACUUCCAGAGGCUUGUAGACCUGAAGCAGUGUGAUGUGGUCCAAAUCUAUUAGCACAACCACAGUCCUCACAGCUGCAGUCGUCUGCCCCUUCACCUGCUACAUUGGCCAUGACAGGUGAUACAGAUCUGCCACCCCCAGCAGUUCAGCUGCAGUCACAGUAGUCCUCUGCUGUGGUAUUUCAUUUACCGGCUGCACCAGUUCUUACUACACUGGCUGCGAAGGGAGAAACUUUUGAGGAUUCCCAGAUGGAUAUAGAUCUGCCAUGCACUCCACCAAUGCCCCUGACAGCCUCACCCAGAAGUGCAUACACCGGGUCUAUCACGAUUGACAAAGCAGAGAUAGGUGGCUGACAAGGAAAUAUAAAACAACAUCCACACACUCUCUGUCACACACACAUUAUCCCCAAAGUAAAUACAUUGUAAUUACUUCAUUAUUUUAUUUUAGGAUUGGAGAUAUCUACACCUACAUAUUCAUUAUCAAUAUCUACAUAAUUACUCUAAGUAUCAUUCCAAUCAGUGUGAUUGAUAAUAUUGUAAGAGUAUUGCUUAAUUUGUAGUUUGAGAAAAUUCGGUGAGCUUUUUUUCUGAGUUGAAAAACAUUCCUCUCUCUCUCUCGCUCUCACACACACACUACACCCAAUGUAAAUACAUUUUAUGUAUGCUCCAUUUAUUUGAGGAUUGUGUGUAAUAAAGUACAUUCACAGUUAAAGCAACAGUUAGUUUUAUUAGAUAUUUGAAUGACAGAAAGGAAGUCGGCACACUCUGGGAGUGUGUGCAGAUUUUGUCAUCUCGAGCUGAAACAGGGCCCCAACAGCCCUCAGAUAUGUACAGUGUUCCCAGGAGUGGCAAAUAUGUUUAUUGUCCUGCAAAAGUAUUUUGAAUGUAUCAAGGGCAUUCCCUGGCUACCCAUCCACAUUGUUCAGGUUAAACUGACGUUUGUUCUCCACAGUGAGAUGACCUGGAGAAAGUUCCAGACGUCAGCUUUUUAUGUAGCAGAAAAGCACAGAUGUGUUUCUCCCAUUCUUCUCUUCAGAUCUGUCAGGUUGAAUGGGGAGUGUCGCUGCACACCUAUUUUCAGGUCUCUCCAGAGAUGUUCUAUCGGGUUCAAGUCCAGGCUCUUGCUGGGCCAAUCAAGGACAUGCAGAGACUUGUC